rfam:Rhodococcus erythropolis PR4 DNA, complete genome.
GGUGCCACGCAAGUGGGCCGAGGUUCGACUCCGGUGGCGUCAGCGUUUCGGUGCCGCAGCAAUUUGAGG